rnacentral:lncRNA from 1 species
CCACGUGCACUGGACCAAUUCACUUCAUCAAAGCGCGCGCACAUGUGGCCAGCACCAAAGCACUUCAUCAAUUCUUGCGCAAGACCAACGUACCACAGCAACACUCGCGCACAUGGGACAUUAGCUCCAGCGUAUGGACCGCUUCAUCACCCAGCACAUGGACACUUGCAAGCUCGCGCACCUUCACUUGCACGUGGACCAAGCCCCCGCGGGCCCGCUUAUGGCCAGCCGUUCUACACUUCCUAACUCACACACACGGGCAGCAACACUCACGCCAAG